CGAAAAGUUAUGUAAGGGCGUAUGGGGGAUGCCUAGGCUCUCAGAGGCGAAGAAGGACGUGAUAAGCUGCGAAAAGUUGCGUGUAUUGGCACAUACGAUAUGAUACGCAAAUAUCCGAAUGGGGCAACCCAGUACAUUGAAGAUGUACUACACCGUAAAGGUGAGCAAACCCGCUGAACUGAAACAUCUAAGUAGGCGGAGGAGAAGAAAACAAAAGUGAUUCCCAAAGUAGUGGCGAGCGAAAUGGGAUUAGCCCAAACCCAUAUUGUUACGGCAAUAUGGGGGUAGUAGGACCCAGAUAUAGGUUGUAAAGCUGGAUUAGAAGUGUUUGGAAAGACACACCAUAGAGAGUGAAAGUCUCGUAUAGGUACAGUUUUAUAAAUCUUAUGGGUAUCCUGAGUAGGUCGGGGCACGAGGAACCUUGACUGAAUCGGCCGGGACCAUCCGGUAAGGCUAAAUACUCCUGAGAGACCGAUAGUGAACUAGUACCGUGAGGGAAAGGUGAAAAGAACCGUGAAUAACGGAGUGAAACAGACCCUGAAACCAUACGCUUACAAGCGGUCGGAGCAGCUACGGCUGUGACGGCGUGCCUUUUGCAUAAUGAGCCUACGAGUUACUGUUACCAGCGAGGAUAAGUAUUUCAGAUACGAAUCCGCAGCGAAAGCGAGUCUGAAUAGGGCGGCAAUAGUUGGUAGUAGUAGACGCGAAACCUGGUGAUCUACCCUUGGGCAGGUUGAAGCGCUGGUAACACAGCGUGGAGGACCGAACUGGUUGUCGUUGAAAAGACUUCGGAUGACCUGAGGGUAGGGGUGAAAGGCCAAUCAAACUGGGAAAUAGCUCGUACUCCCCGAAAUGCAUUUAGGUGCAGCGUUGAAGCGAGUUUAAUAGAGGUAGAGCUACUGAUUGGAUGCGGGGGUUUCAUCGCCUACCAAUUCCUGACAAACUCCGAAUGCUAUUAAAUGCUCAUCAGCAGUGAGGGUAUGGGUGCUAAGGUCCAUAUCCUAAAGGGAAAGAACCCGGACCAUCAGCUAAGGUCCCCAAAUAUAUGCUAAGUUGACCAAACGCGGUCUGACUGCACUGACAGCUAGGAUGUUGGCUUGGAAGCAGCCAUACAUUUAAAGAGUGCGUAACAGCUCACUAGUCGAGCGGUUGGGCAUGGAUAAUAAACGGGCAUAAGCAUAUUACCGAAGCUAUGGGGUAGUACAGAAGUACCUACCGGUAGGGGAGCAUUCUAUAGGCGUGGAAGCUAAAGGCGUGAGCCAUAGUGGAGCUGAUAGAAAAGAAAAUGUAGGCAUAAGUAACGAUAAGGCAGGCGAGAAACCUGCCCGCCGAAAGAUCAAGGUUUCCUCAGCUAUGCUAAUCAGCUGAGGGUUAGUCGGGGACUAACGCGCACCCGAGAAGGGGAAGUGGAUGUACAACAGGUUAAUAUUCCUGUACCAUUAAUCUAAUAAAAGUGACGGAACGAGAUAACUACCGCGUACUGACGGAAUAGUACGUUAAAGGAGCAGUUAUAGCUUUGAUAGUACACUGAGGCUUCGGUCGAGGUGAUAGAGUGGUGACAACGUUUCCAAGAAAAGCGAAGAUUAAUGCCCGUACCGUAAACCGACACAGGUGAUUGGGAAGAGAAUUCUAAGGCGCUCGAGAGAUUCAUGGCUAAGGAACUAGGCAAAAUAGACCUGUAACUUCGGGAGAAAGGUCGCCUAUCUAGCGAUAGGCCGCAGUGAAGAGGUCCAAGCGACUGUUUAUCAAAAACACAGGACUCUGCAAAAUCGAAAGAUGAGGUAUAGGGUCUGACACCUGCCCGGUGCUGGAAGGUUAAGAGGAGAGCUUAGUGGUAACACGAAGGUUUGAAUUGAAGCCCCAGUAAACGGCGGCCGUAACUAUAACGGUCCUAAGGUAGCGAAAUUCCUUGUCGGGUAAGUUCCGACCUGCACGAAUGGUGUAACGAUUUGGACACUGUCUCGGCCAUGAGCUCGGUGAAAUUGUAGUAUCGGUGAAGAUGCCGAUUACCCGCAGUGGGACGAAAAGACCCUGUGCACCUUUACUAUAUCUUCGUAUUGGUCUUGGAUAAGUGAUGCGUAGGAUAGGUGGGAGACUGCGAAGCGGCUAUUCCGGUAGUUGUGGAGUCGUUGUUGAAAUACCACCCUUUGCUUAUCUGAGGUCUAACUUUGCACAAGGCAAAGGACAAUUCGUGGAGGGUAGUUUGACUGGGGUGGUCGCCUCCAAAAGAGUAACGGAGGCUUCUAAAGGUUCCCUCAGCACGCUUGGUAACCGUGCGAAGAGUGCAAUGGCAUAAGGGAGCUUGACUGAGAGACCUACAAGUCGAUCAGGUACGAAAGUAGAGCAUAGUGAUCCGGUGGUUCCGUAUGGAAGGGCCAUCGCUCAAAGGAUAAAAGGUACGCCGGGGAUAACAGGCUGAUCUCCCCCAAGAGCUCACAUCGACGGGGGGGUUUGGCACCUCGAUGUCGGCUCGUCACAUCCUGGGGCUGGAGAAGGUCCCAAGGGUUGGGCUGUUCGCCCAUUAAAGUGGCACGCGAGCUGGGUUCAGAACGUCGUGAGACAGUUCGGUCUCUAUCUACUGUGGGCGUUAGAAAUUUGCGUGGAUCUGACUCUAGUACGAGAGGACCGAGUUGGACGCACCGCUGGUGUAUCUGUUGUCUUGCCAAGGGCAUAGUAGAGUAGCUAAGUGCGGAUGGGAUAAGUGCUGAAGGCAUAUAAGUACGAAACCCGCCACAAGAUGAGAUUUCUUUUAAGGGUCGUGGGAGAUGACCACGUUGAUAGGUUACAGGUGUAAAGGUGGUAACAUCAUAGCCGAGUAAUACUAAUCACCCGUAGACUUUUCGCGCAG
rnacentral:rRNA from 1 species